CCGCACAAGCGGUGGAGCAUGUGGUUUAAUUCGACGCUACGCGAAGAACCUUACCUGGGCUUGAACUGCGUGGUGGUAGAAGCCCCGAAAGGGUAACGACCCGGAGCAAUCCGGGAGCCAGUAGAGGUGCUGCAUGGCUGUCGUCAGCUCGUGUCGUGAGAUGUUGGGUUAAGUCCCGCAACGAGCGCAACCCUUACCCUUAGUUGCCAGCGGGUAAUGCCGGGCACUCUAAGGGGACCGCCCCGGAUAACGGGGAGGAAGGCGGGGAUGACGUCAAGUCAGCAUGGCCUUUAUGUCCAGGGCUACACACGUGCUACAAUGGGCGAUACAGAGGGAAGCAAGGCCGCAAGGUAGAGCUAAUCCCUAAAGUCGUCCUCAGUUCGGAUUGCAGGCUGCAACUCGCCUGCAUGAAGUCGGAAUCGCUAGUAAUCGCGGAUCAGCUACGCCGCGGUGAAUACGUUCUCGGGCCUU
rnacentral:rRNA from 1 species